rnacentral:rRNA from 1 species
GCCUACGGGAGGCAGCAGUAGGGAAUUUUCGUCAAUGGGCGCAAGCCUGAACGAGCAAUGCCGCGUGAACGAGGAAGGUCUUCGGAUCGUAAAGUUCUGUUGAAGGGGAAAAAGAGCGGAGAGAGGAAAUGCUUUCUGAUUGAUAUUACCCUUCGAGGAAGUCACGGCUAACUACGUGCCAGUAGCCGCGGUAAUACGUAGGUGGCGAGCGUUAUCCGGAAUGAUUGGGCGUAAAGGGUGCGUAGGCGGCCUGCUAAGUCUGGAGUGAAAGGUACCGGCUCAACCGGUACAGGCUCUGGAAACUG